UACGGGGCGGGGUUCGGGCUAUCUCGGCCAAUCACGGCAAGACGCUCACCAAGAUAGUUCAAUUCAAAUUUAAACGGUCGAGGACGGAGAUCCCGCGGACACUGAAGUUGUUUUUAAGCCCACAACAGAGCAUGUCCCGCCUGCCAGUAAUGUCAAGUAAGAGGGUACUCGCGGAGAAUGCCCAGGACUUGGCACCUGCACAGAAGAGACUCCGUAAGGAUGCAGAUCCGGUUAAACCAGCGGCUACGGUCAUUGGUACCAAGCGACCUGCUCUCGCAGCAACCCGAGCACCUA